UUUUCUACAAAACUCAUCUGCCCAUUCUUCUAACCAACGAAAAAAUGGGGG
rnacentral:antisense_RNA from 1 species